rnacentral:rRNA from 1 species
GGGAACGCGAAGAACCUUACCUACCCUUGACAUGGCUGGAAUCCCCGAGAGAUUGGGGAGUGCUCGAAAGAGAACCAGUACACAGGUGCUGCAUGGCGUCGUCAGCUCGUGUCGUGAGAUGUUGGGUUAAGUCCCGCAACGAGCGCAACCCUUGUCAUUAGUUGCUACGAAAGGGCACUCUAAUGAGACUGCCGGUGACAAACCGGAGGAAGGUGGGGAUGACGUCAAGUCCUCAUGGCCCUUAUGGGUAGGGCUUCACACGUCAUACAAUGGUACAUACAGAGCGCCGCCAACCCGCGAGGGGGAGCUAAUCGCAGAAAGUGUAUCGUAGUCCGGAUUGUAGUCUGCAACUCGACUGCAUGAAGUUGGAAUCG